GUGGGGAAUAUUGGACAAUGGGCGCAAGCCUGAUCCAGCCAUGCCGCGUGAGUGAUGAAGGCCUUCGGGUUGUAAAGCUCUUUAGCCGAUGAUUAUAAUGACUGUAGUCGGAAAAUAAGCCCCGGCUAACUUCGUGCCAGCAGCCGCGGUAAUACGAAGGGGGCGAGCGUUAUUCGGAAUCACUGGGCAUAAAGCGUGCGUAGGCGGCUUUGCAAGUUGGGAGUGAAAGCCCAGGGCUCAACCCUGGAAUUGCUCUCAAAACUGCAAGGCUCGAAUUCGGGAGAGGAUAGCGGAAUUGUCAGUGUAGCAGUGAAAUGCGUAGAUAUUGACAGGAACACCAGUGGCGUAAGCGGCUAUCUGGACCGAUAUUGACGCUGAGGCACGAAAGCGUGGGGAUCAAACAGGAUUAGAAACCCGGGUAGUCC
rnacentral:rRNA from 1 species